rnacentral:rRNA from 1 species
AUUGAACGCUAGCGGGAUGCUUUACACAUGCAAGUCGAGCGAGCGGCGGACGGGUGAGUAAUAUCUGGGAACUGCCCGAUAGAGGGGGAUAACUACUGGAAAGGGUGGCUAAUACCGCAUACUAUCGGAGGGCCCAUAUGGGAUUAGCUAGUAGGUGGGGUAAAGGCUCACCGAGGCAACGAUCCCUAGCUGGUUGGAGAGGAGGACCAGCCAAACUGGGACUGAGACACGGCCCAGACUCCGACGGAGGCAGCAGUGGGGAAUAUUGGACAAUGGGCGAAACCCUGAUGCAGCCAUCCCGCGUGUAUGAAGAAGGCCCUAGGGUUGUAAAGUACUUUCAGUCGGGAGGCGUUACCGACAGAAGAAGCACCGGCUAACUCCGUGCCAGCAGCCGCGGUAAUUC